CCAAUUUUGGCCCAACCCCCAAAAUCGAGGACUCAAACCUAAAUUUCCGCCGGUCCACUCGCCGUCCUCGCUGCGCCGCCCUCACUCUCCUCCCCCUCCCCGCCGCCGCUUCACCUCCUGCAUCGCUCAUCCCUGCCGCUGCCGUCCGUCCUCGCGCUCCACCACGUGCGCCCCCUCAUCGUUGCCGCCAGCAUCCUCGCGCUCCCCCUGUCCCUCCCGCGUCACAACUCCGUCUGGCUACCUUCCCCGACCCCGAGAUUCGUCCGUCCGUCACCCCGACCCCGGCCUCCGUCCCCACCCCCUGUCACUGUCUGUCGCCUGCCUUCCCUAGAGUCGCGCUCCCCCCUUUGCCGCAUCCCUGCAGCUUUGGGUGGCGCUGCCGCCGAUAACUCCGACCCCGUUCUCCAUCCGUCCACCGCCCUCCACCCCGUCCGCUCCGAGCUCCUUGACACCGUACACCUGCCCCGGAGUCGCAGCCACCGAUAGCUCCAUCCGCUGCCGCCUUCACCUGCCACGCCCAAACCUUCCAAAGAUAGAUUCUAUGAUGAAUUCGAUAUGCUCUCUGAAGAUUUUUCUGACUGUCUAAAUGACUUGGGCAGUACAUUUACCUAGCCUACUCCCUGACUGUUUAAAUGACUUGGGUGUGUCAGUACUGGAGCCAUGGGUGCUUGCGCCUUGCGUACAUCAGCAUGAAUAUAUUUCAUGAUUGCGACAGGUCUGAAUGACAUUGACCACAUCUAGGAAAUGAGAUGUUGUCAAGCAGGCUUUGUUGCUUAUUUAGUUGGCAGUGUUUGUAUCUGGCAUUGAAAAUACCAAUAUGAAAAUCUUCAUGUAUGGAAGAAUGAUAUAUAGUUUGAUAGGGUCAAUAUGAAAAACUUUUGCCUCCAUUUGGAUAAUUAUAGUGUGUCAAGGUCAGCAAUCUGUGAAUAACUCAGUAGCGCAAGGAGCUUUCUUUUGCAGGAAUAGGUACCCAUAUCAAUCUUGGCAUUAGUAUGAGAGAAAUCUAUUUAACCUUCAGAAAUUAUCAUGGAGUUCUGUUGUGGUUCUUGCUAAUUUUGAUGGGUGCUCGUCUUGUACAGAUAAUAUGUUUCCCUUUGUGCAUGCUUCUGAUCAUGAUUAGAAUUUUGCUUAUACACUUAUAUCUAUCUUCUUUCCAGGGUUAAUUAAUGCCAGAAGUUGUUCCUUGGAGCUUCAGCACAAGUACUUCUUUGUAGUCAAGAUUCUAUGCUUGGUCUUCUUGGUUUUAUAUCCAAUUCAAAAAUCCGUUCACUUCCCUAGAUCAGUGAUAGAGGCAGUGGCGGAGCGUGACAAGCAACCAAGAGGAACCAAGAGGAAAAAUAUGUAUGAAAAGUUGAAAACAGUCCAUCAGCUGUUUGGCUACAAUUCAUUGUUCAGAGGUCCAGCAUCUCGUUGUGUUGGGCCAUGCACAUGCAGCAGCACGAGAAGGGAAGCGACAGUGGUGGUGCGCAGAUGCAGCAGCAAGCUGCUGGUGAUGAUCGGUGGCGCAUAAUACUGCAGGAGCAUGAGAAUGAGAUGAUGAGAAGGGCAACAGCAGUGGUGGCGUGCAGAUGCAGCAGCAAGCAGGUGGUGAUGAUCGGUGGCGCACAAUAAGGUAGGAACAUGAGAUGACGAGAAGGGCAGCAGCAUAGGCGGUGUGCAGAUUCAGCAGCAAGCCGUCGGCGAGGCUUAGUGGCGCGCAGCACGGCAUGAUACAGGGAUGACGAGAAGGUGGCGUCGCAUCCCUGUUUGUCCUCUAUGAAGCUCUGCCAGUGCAUAGAGGUACUUAGCCACCUAGCGCUUGGAUGUGAGGACUUGGGGUGUUGGCUGUUUUUCCGUAUUUUGGAUCAGCCAACUUCAAUUGUGUCAUGAAUCUUACGUGUGUUUUGGACCAUUUGGUGCUUCAAUUGUUUUGGAGUAGAAACUUUGUGCUCAUUGAUGUGACUUGUGUGUGAACUCUUUCAGACCAGCAAAUAGUGGUCCUUAUGUCACUUGUGUGUUCUGGAUGGUCAUACUAUGCUGUUGUGUUUGUGAACCUGUGUCAAUAUAUACGUAUGUUUUUGAACUUAUCAUCA